rfam:Canis lupus familiaris chromosome 6, whole genome shotgun sequence.
AGGAGGAACAGCCCCAGUGGCGGGGCCAGCUCUGGAGCCCUGGAUUCAGCUCCGGCAGGAACUCCGUCUGCAGGGCCUGGAGGCUCCGGGGCGGG